UGUCACUACUGCAGUGGCCCCAGGGCGCUCUCGGAGAGGAGCUGCAGGAGCUGCCGCCCCGCAGGCCCAGGCCGGCCAGUUGGCUGGAGAACUUAAGCCAGAUCCACAAGUAUGUGGGAAAGUUCCUCAGCAGCAGCUUGAAGAAAUUUAUAAACAAGAAAACUGAGAACGCCACGAACCUCUCCCCACCGACCGCCAAGAACCUCUCCCCACCGACCGCCAAGAACCUCUCCCCACCGACCGCCAAGAACCUCUCCCAACCAAAUGCCACGAACCUCUCCCCACCGAACACCAAGAACCUCUCCCCGCCGAACGCCACGAAAGUCUAGGCACUGAACGCGUAGAGCCUCCACCAGCCACCUCUUCCCGGGGCCCCAGGUAGGAGAGCACAGACACUGCUGGAACCUAGGAACUGGGGGCAGCUUGGGUUGGAGUGAGAGGAAGCUCUUGCGGGUUGAGGUACUAGUGCCCCAGGGACUUCCUUCUCCUAACUAGCUGGACCUUGACCUCCAGACACCUGAUCCACUAGAUCUCACCGCCCACCAACACCUUUAUAUUGUGAAAAGGGCCUCAACUCCACCCCACCCCCUCAGUACAAACAAUAAAAAGACACAAAAUCUC